AGGAUAAAGUGAGGACCCCCCGUCUGUUUAUACUAACACUGUAUAUUCAUAAACAGGAACGAAUCACAAUCCCAGUAGACCUGGAAGCACAUGCAAAGGGAGACUAAAUUGGAUCCAAGUCUCAAAAGGAUGAAAUAAGGAUUUAACAAUACCUCUCAGACUCAACUCCACUGAUGAGUGCAUGAUGGAACUUCAUCUCCAAAAAUUGUAUCAAAUGUGGCUGAAACCAGUCAUCAAAAUCAAGAGGAAGUUCUAGUUCUGAGCACACUAACCACAGUUUCUGAGGAGCAGGGAGGCAGCAUUUAUACUCUACUGUCCUCACUCACAGUGUGGGGAAGAGUCAAGCACCGUGUCCCAACAGCAGACAUCUCUGGCAUUGCAUGACCAGUAAAAUUUGCAAAGCAUCUGUGGGAUAUCUUCAGCUAGUAGGGG
rnacentral:lncRNA from 1 species